UGGCGGCGUGCUUCAUACAUGCAAAGUCGAACGUGAAGCUCUCUUCGGAGAGUGGAAAGUGGCGGACGGGUGAGUAAUAUGUAGAGAAUCUGCCCUUGAGCGGGGGACAACAGAGGGAAACUUCUGCUAAUACCCCAUAUGAGCUUGGUUGAAAUACCAAUCUUGAAAACUCCGGUGCUCAAGGAUGAGUCUGCAUCUGAUUAGCUAGUUGGCGGUGUAAUGGACCACCAAGGCGACGAUCAGUAGCUGGUUUGAGAGGAUGAUCAGCCACAAUGGGACUGAGACACGGCCCAUACUCCUACGGGAGGCAGCAGUAGGGAAUUUUGCGCAAUGGGCGAAAGCCCUGACGCAGCAACGCCGCGUGAACGUAGAAGCCCUUCGGGGUGUAAAGUUCUGUCAGUAGGGACGAAUCUUGACGGUACCUACAGAGGAAGCACCGGCUAACUCCGUGCCAGCCGCCGC
rnacentral:rRNA from 1 species